AUUGAACGCUGGCGGCAUGCCUUACACAUGCAAGUCGAACGGCAGCAUGAUCUAGCUUGCUAGAUUGAUGGCGAGUGGCGAACGGGUGAGUAAUACAUCGGAACGUGCCCUGUAGUGGGGGAUAACUAGUCGAAAGAUUAGCUAAUACCGCAUACGACCUGAGGGUGAAAGUGGGGGACUGCAAGGCCUCAUGCUAUAGGAGCGGCCGAUGCCUGAUUAGCUAGUUGGUGAGGUAAAGGCUCACCAAGGCGACGAUCAGUAGCUGGUCUGAGAGGACGAUCAGCCACACUGGGACUGAGACACGGCCCAGACUCCUACGGGAGGCAGCAGUGGGGAAUUUUGGACAAUGGGCGAAAGCCUGAUCCAGCAAUGCCGCGUGUGUGAAGAAGGCCUUCGGGUUGUAAAGCACUUUUGUCCGGAAAGAAAUGGCUCUGGUUAAUACCUGGGGUCGAUGACGGUACCGGAAGAAUAAGGACCGGCUAACUACGUG
rnacentral:rRNA from 1 species